rnacentral:rRNA from 1 species
UACGGAGGAUCCGAGCGUUAUCCGGAUUUAUUGGGUUUAAAGGGAGCGUAGGUGGAUUGUUAAGUCAGUUGUGAAAGUUUGCGGCUCAACCGUAAAAUUGCAGUUGAAACUGGCAGUCUUGAGUACAGUAGAGGUGGGCGGAAUUCGUGGUGUAGCGGUGAAAUGCUUAGAUAUCACGAAGAACUCCGAUUGCGAAAGCAGCUCACUGGACUGCAACUGACACUGAGGCUCGAAAGUGUGGGUAUCAAACAGG